rnacentral:rRNA from 1 species
GAUGAACGCUAGCGGGAGGCCUAACACAUGCAAGCCGAGCGGUAUUUGUCCUUCGGGACAGAGAGAGUGGCGCACGGGUGCGGAACACGUGUGCAACCUACCUUUAUCAGGGGGAUAGCCUUUCGAAAGGAAGAUUAAUACCCCAUAAUAUAUUGAAUGGCAUCAUUUGAUAUUGAAAACUCCGGUGGAUAGAGAUGGGCACGCGCAAGAUUAGAUAGUUGGUAGGGUAACGGCCUACCAAGUCGAUGAUCUUUAGGGGGCCUGAGAGGGUGAUCCCCCACACUGGUACUGAGACACGGACCAGACUCCUACGGGAGGCAGCAGUGAGGAAUAUUGGACAAUGGGUGAGAGCCUGAUCCAGCCAUCCCGCGUGAAGGACGACUGCCCUAUGGGUUGUAAACUUCUUUUGUACAGGGAUAAACCUAGAUACGUGUAUCUAGCUGAAGGUACUGUACGAAUAAGCACCGGCUAACUCCGUGCCAGCAGCCGCGGUAAUACGGAGGGUGCAAGCGUUAUCCGGAUUUAUUGGGUUUAAAGGGUCCGUAGGCGGGCCUGUAAGUCAGUGGUGAAAUCUCAUAGCUUAACUAUGAAACUGCCAUUGAUACUGCAGGUCUUGAGUAAAUUUGAAGUGGCUGGAAUAAGUAGUGUAGCGGUGAAAUGCAUAGAUAUUACUUAGAACACCAAUUGCGAAGGCAGGUCACUAAGAUUUAACUGACGCUGAUGGACGAAAGCGUGGGGAGCGAACAGGAUUAGAUACCCUGGUAGUCCACGCCGUAAACGAUGCUAACUCGUUUUUGGGUCUUCGGAUUCAGAGACUAAGCGAAAGUGAUAAGUUAGCCACCUGGGGAGUACGUUCGCAAGAAUGAAACUCAAAGGAAUUAACGGGGGCCCGCACAAGCGGUGGAUUAUGUGGUUUAAUUCGAUGAUACGCGAGGAACCUUACCAAGACUUAAAUGGGAAAUGACAGAUCUGGAAACAGGUCCUUCUUCGGACAUUUUUCAAGGUGCUGCAUGGUUGUCGUCAGCUCGUGCCGUGAGGUGUUAGGUUAAGUCCUGCAACGAGCGCAACCCCUGUCACUAGUUGCUACCAUUAAGUUGAGGACUCUAGUGAGACUGCCUACGCAAGUAGAGAGGAAGGUGGGGAUGACGUCAAAUCAUCACGGCCCUUACGUCUUGGGCCACACACGUAAUACAAUGGCCGGUACAGAGGGCAGCUACACAGCGAUGUGAUGCAAAUCUCGAAAGCCGGUCUCAGUUCGGAUUGGAGUCUGCAACUCGACUCUAUGAAGCUGGAAUCGCUAGUAAUCGCGCAUCAGCCAUGGCGCGGUGAAUACGUUCCCGGGCCU